rnacentral:ncRNA from 1 species
CCGUUCAACUCGCCGUCCUGCGCGACGGCUACGGGAG